GACGAACGCUGGCGGCGUGCUUAACACAUGCAAGUCGAACGGAAAGGCCCCGCUUUUGUGGGGGGGUUGGGUGGCGAAAGGGUGAGUAACACGAGAGUAAACUGCCCUUGACUUUGGGAUAACUUCAGGAAAAUGGGGGUAAUACCGGAUAGGAGGUCCUGCUGCAUGGGGGGGGGUGGGAAGGUUGGGGGGGUGGGGAUGGGGACGCGGGUUUUCAGCUUGUUGGUGGGGUAGUGGCUUACCAAGGCUUUGACGGGUAGCCGGCCUGAGAGGGUGACCGGCCACAUUGGGACUGAGAUACGGCCCAGACUCCUACGGGAGGCAGCAGUGGGGAAUAUUGCACAAUGGGCGGAAGCCUGAUGCAGCAACGCCGCGUGCGGGAUGACGGCCUUCGGGUUGUAAACCGCUUUCGCCUGUGACGAAGCGUGAGUGACGGUAAUGGGUAAAGAAGCACCGGCUAACUACGUG
rnacentral:rRNA from 1 species